GAGAUCUGCCGCUUCUGCAGGGCACGUGCUCACGGAGCGGUGGAAGGACCCCUCUGAUGACGAAAGCUCUGCGGGAGUGUUCGCUGCAGACGCCUGAAAGAAAAAGAUUCUCGGAAUACGGCAUUCUAUAUAAAAGUCCCUUUCUCAGCGUGGUUCGAGUCUUCAGAAAAUAUUUCGGAUUGAACCACCAGCAGAUCUAGUUCAGAAGAACACGUUCGUCGCUCAUCUCUGACAAGAACCAAAGCGGACAUUCGAGGUCACAAACUAUGGCAUUUAUUUCAAAGGCUUUUCUGCUUACAUUUGUACAAUAAAUUACACACGGUCCAUCUUCUGAUGAGCUUAAUAAAUAUGAUAGAACUUCCCGUUAAGCUUUAACACGCUCUCCUCUCUCUCUCUCUCUCUCUCUCUCUCUUUCUCGCGCUCGUCUUUACAAACAUCUCUGAACAUUUUUGUAAAGAUCCAUAAAACUUUACAGUUCGUGUACAGAUCGGAAAAUACCACAUUAUAAAAAAAAAAAACAAAGAAAAAGAAAAAGUAAAAGAAAACCCGGAACAAGCACAGUUUAACGGAAAUACACAAAAGACGGGAACGGAAAAGCAUGAAAAACCGAAUCGAAACUAACUCCUAGAGAGAACGAAAAGCAAAGGAAGGGAUGAGAAAAUGGACAUGCUUCUACCUUCAGGAUGUACACAGACGCUACGGUUAAAACGGUAAAACUGUACAGAAACGUACAUGGUAUUAACAGUGCAAGAUAUUAAAUAGCUCGACUCAAAACACGCUUCUCAAUAUACAAAUGUAUAACAAAGGCAUACAAUUACAUACAAGUGCCGAACGCUACAGACCUUCAGGUUAUGAUACAAGAGGGAGUCUAUACAGAGGGACUCUGGAGAUCUUCAGUCCCCGCCGAGGCUCAGAGACGAGGGACGCCCCUCUUGGUUUCGUGGUGUCUUGACCCCUAAAGCAGUAAUUCACCACAAAUGACCCGGCGCUCGUCCUCCGGGCCGCCGAGCGGCGCUUGUGCUGUGUUUGAAGUGUGGCCCAAUCGAGAGCAGACGGGGGGAAGAGCGAAUAACACGCUGAAAAAAGGGCAUCGUCUCGCGAUUCUGCCGUUCUCCAGCAUUCGGAGUCCGUCACGGUUUUCGACUUUCAUCCCGUCAGCAUCUCGCGAUUUCGAGGUUUUUAAACGUUGCGAUUCUGAUGCAUUUUUCUCUAAGUUCUGCGUUGACGCCCCCUCCCCCCCCCCUCAGAAUUGAGUUUUACUCAAGGUUUCCAUUUCUCAACUUCUUCAGAAUUCUACAAUCACGAGUUUACGCAGAAUUCCGCAAUUUUGACUUGGUCACCAUUCUUUUUUUUUUUUUUCCUCGUUACUUUUUGCCGCAACCGAUUGUUUUCCCGAUUCGGUCAUAUUCCUCAGAAAUCGAAAUCGACGUUUCAGUUUCGACUUCCCGUCUCACCGCUUCGAGUUCGCCAGCGAGUUCAAAUGCUGCAGUUAUUUCCGCGUGUACUAUUUUGGCAUCUUGCAAUCACGCCGUUCUAGUUUAAACUCUAUUCAAAUUCGCAAGUCAUCUCGCACUUGAGUUUUUUUGGAGUUGCAUGUCCCAAUUUUUCCUCAGAGUUCUAAUAUUUCUAGAGACAUUCAUAGAGUUUUAAAAUUUAGUUCUAAAAUUCUAAAGAUUUUUCCUGAAUUCUAAAUUUACCUUUGUGCCAUCAGACUCGUUAACUUUUUGCAAUGGAGAUAUUUUUUUCCUGUUUAAAUCUGCCAUUUAUUUUUUUCUGCCCCGAAAAUCUCUUUACUCUUUACAAAAAAAAAAGUCAGAAUGGCGAGAUAAAAGUCGCAGACCGGCUUCCUAAGAUCUGAAAUGAACGGCUUGAGGAAAACACGAUCAAACGGUUUUAAAAGAACAUUAAAGCGUUUUCAUUUGUAGGUGAACUAUUGCUUUAACCCACAGUCCACCCAAACCGGCGGAAGUGCUUUACUACCCCGCAUCCUACACUUGCGGCGUCGGAAAAAGAGGCGGGAAAUGGAAAUAAGGAAGACACAAACACACAAAGGCUACGUACAGAACAGACGGGCAUCUGUCAUUGCACACGAUCACAGAUGAAUCUGCCAUUGCACUUCUGAAUACUGCCACGUUAACCAUUAAUACCCCCAACGGGGUCUGGAUAGAUUUCAGUAGUAAAAUACAUUUAGAAUCCUGGCUGCCAGAAAAAGUCAUCAAUUCUCAAAUUGUCAACAAUCGUAAUACAUUUCACCUCCAGAGGAACUGAACGCCGAACUCUCUCUCUCUCUCUCCAGACGUCUAAAUAGCCCUUAGCCCGACUCGCUCGCCUCCUUCAGCCGCCGAGACGAACGCGAGAACAAACGCAGGGGACCGAGCGGGGAGCGGUGAAGACUCGUAAGGCUUCCUGAAAUCAUUCGAAACAAAAACAACGGACAGACUGGGAUUCGACAUUCAUAAGGCGCGAUCCGAACCGAAACGCUUCCAGGUCACAUUCAACCCUAAAACCAAUUUUGUUUUUAACCGUCACGUGAUUCAUAUUUAAUCACUUAUAAAAUAUAUAUAAUUCUCAUUCUUGAUUGUUGCUGUAACCGUGUUUUCAUAACGAUGCAUUUAAUAAAGAAUUGCAUAUUGA